GAAAGCAUUUGCCAAGGACGUUUUCAUUAAUCAAGAACGAAAGUUAGGGGAUCGAAGAUGAUCAGAUACCGUCGUAGUCUUAACCAUAAACUAUGCCGACUAGGGAUCGGGUGUUGUCCUUUUUUUGGCGCACUCGGCACCUUACGAGAAAUCAAAGUUUUUGGGUUCUGGGGGGAGUAUGGUCGCAAGGCUGAAACUUAAAGGAAUUGACGGAAGGGCACCACCAGGAGUGGAGCCUGCGGCUUAAUUUGACUCAACACGGGGAAACUCACCAGGUCCAGACACAAUAAGGAUUGACAGAUUGAGAGCUCUUUCUUGAUUUUGUGGGUGGUGGUGCAUGGCCGUUCUUAGUUGGUGGAGUGAUUUGUCUGCUUAAUUGCGAUAACGAACGAGACCUUAACCUACUAAAUAGUGCUGCUAGCAUUUGCUGGUACGACACUUCUUAGAGGGACUACCGAUUUCAAGUCGGUGGAAGUUUGAGGCAAUAACAGGUCUGUGAUGCCCUUAGACGUUCUGGGCCGCACGCGCGCUACACUGACGGAGCCAGCGAGUAUUAACCUUGGCCGAGAGGUCCGGGAAAUCUUGUGAAACUCCGUCGUGCUGGGGAUAGAGCAUUGUAAUUAUUGCUCUUCAACGAGGAAUUCCUAG
rnacentral:rRNA from 1 species